AAAUAAAAGUGAAUUUUAUGGCACUUUUAAAAAAAUCCAUAUCCACCUUGUGUGCAAUGUAAUUUUUUGAAAGAGGGGGAUUUAUUUUCCUCUCUUUCUAAAAUCAUAUCAACUCUUUGCUUUGAACCUGUUUGUCUGAUAUAAAUAUAUUCUUGAAUAACUUAAUUCAAAAAUA
rnacentral:misc_RNA from 1 species